rnacentral:rRNA from 1 species
CCUACGUGGGGCUGCAGUGGGGAAUAUUGGACAAUGGACCGAGAGUCUGAUCCAGCAAUUCUGUGUGCACGAUGAAGUUGUUCGGAAUGUAAAGUGCUUUCAGUUGGGAAGAAAGAAAUGACGGUACCAACAGAAGAAGUGACGGCUAAAUACGUGCCAGCAGCCGCGGUAAUACGUAUGUCACGAGCGUUAUCCGGAUUUAUUGGGCGUAAAGCGCGUCUAGGUGGUUAUGUAAGUCUGAUGUGAAAAUGCAGGGCUCAACUCUGUAUUGCGUUGGAAACUGUAUAACUAGAGUACUGGAGAGGUAAGCGGUACUACAAGUGUAGAGGUGAAAUUCGUAGAGAUUUGUAGGAAUGCCGAUGGGGAAGCCAGCUUACUGGACAGAUACUGACGCUAAAGCGCGAAAGCGUGGGUAGCACACAGGAUUAGAUACCCCAGUAGUC